AGUGAACGCUGGCGGUAGGCCUAACACAUGCAAGUCGAACGGCAGCACAGUAAGAGCUUGCUCUUACGGGUGGCGAGUGGCGGACGGGUGAGGAAUACAUCGGAAUCUACUUUUUCGUGGGGGAUAACGUAGGGAGACUUACGCUAAUACCGCAUACGACCUACGGGUGAAAGCAGGGGAUCUUCGGACCUUGCGCGAUUGAAUGAGCCGAUGUCGGAUUAGCUAGUUGGCGGGGUAAAGGCCCACCAAGGCGACGAUCCGUAGCUGGUCUGAGAGGAUGAUCAACCACACUGGAACUGAGACACGGUCCAGACUCCUACGGGAGGCAGCAGUGGGGAAUAUUGGACAAUGGGCGCAAGCCUGAUCCAGCCAUACCGCGUGGGUGAAGAAGGCCUUCGGGUUGUAAAGCCCUUUUGUUGGGAAAGAAAAGCAGCAGGUUAAUACCCCGCUGUUCUGACGGUACCCAAAGAAUAAGCACCGGCUAACUUCGUG
rnacentral:rRNA from 1 species